UUCGUGUCAGUCGUCAGUCCCGAAUUGGGAGGAGGGGAGGGCUGGGCUGAGCGAGCAGGAGAGGGGCGAGCGCUGGAUCGGUCCGCGGUGGCGGCGGCGGCGGCAGCAGCGGCAGCGGCUGCUCGGGGCCCGGUCGCGGGGCGGCGUCUAGGGCCGUGUGGGUGAGAGGGCGGAGGCCGAUGGCCGGCCGCUGAGGGGGGAGGCGGACCCAGAACGGGGGCGCCCUAGGCUCGCCCCGAUCCCAAAUGCCCCUCGCUCCUCCUCCUCCGCGCUACUCGUAGCAGGGGUUCCUCUGCUAGCUCCACUAACGGGUCUCGUAGCCGUAGGGGAGGGAGGGGCGGCUACAGAGGCGGCGGGAGCGGGGGCUGCAGCUCAUGGCGGAGGCCCUCUAGUACGUCCUCCGGUAGUUCACAUACGCCGUACGUUUCUCCUGUCAAGACUGACGGCUACUACAACUGUCACGAGACUCGGACUCCUUACAACUCGGACAUAUACCUAAACGUAGACCACUGGGGAACGCCAAAUUCUCUCGACACCCGGUAUUUCUAGAGAAGAUAUAACUACUGUCCCUCCAUCUGAAGUUUCUCUAAUAGCUUCGAGGAGAUGGCUUUCGAGGUGAGCUGUGUCGUCAACAACAAGUGACCGAUCGCUAACUCCCGCAGGUUGGACGAUAAGGUCUCUUAGGAGGAUAGCUACGUUAAAGUCGUGGUUGACUUUUAUUUUCCUGUCUCGUACGCUUCCUACUACCUGAUGGUCAACUGUAGUUCGAAGGACAAUUCGUAUAUAAUAGAUCUCUUGAGGUCUACAUGAAACUAUUUUAUCGUCUCGAAUGAUACUCAUCUAGUUCGUGGGGUCAAAAAUCUCUUCGUAAUCACUCGGACAGAUUUCUGAGUCCGGAAGUAGGCAACCAAGGAAUGAAAAGCAUGAAGUAACGUCUACUCCAAUGGUCCUCAAACCGGCUGGAGGGACAAGAUAAACGAGAGUACGCACAACAGGUUUCGGAAGAGGCAUUAGGAGUGUAAGUAUAACUUGGUAUAAACGUAGUCAACUACGGUAGUUACUAGUGAACGUAGCAGCGCUUUUCCGAACCCGUGUCCGAAAGUCUGUUGGUAACCCUCGAAUCUCUGAAGAGACGGUUAAACCAACGAAGUCAUACAGCCUCCAUACCAGUACACAUGGUGUUAGAGGUUUAGGCCAAUUGUUUCUGUGACCAGGUACGUAAAGAACUGGGAGUAUUUCGUAACUGCGUUGUAAUACCACGACAAGUUCCCUAUAGACGUAACCCCGGGUCACACGUCUAAUCCGAAGACGAAAACGGGUUGGAGGUCUGCAUGUACGUUGAAAACCUAGGACUUAAUGUUGAACUCUUCGUUAGUUUACUUUACUUUGCUUUCCUUCGUACCGCACAAAUGCCACGGGACGACACACGACGUCCGUUUACGAACAUACUCGCCGAAUUCAAUAAAGGAUUAAACGAGAGAGGCGGUUGAGCCGGUGAAGACUCCUCAUUAUCGUCUCAACGUUGUUUGUUGGGUUUAUUUGCCUUCAGAUCAUGUCUGGAGAGACGCAGAGUCGGUGGAGACUUCUUCUACCGCAGCCUGCAUAGUUACUCAGGGUACCCAAGUCGUCGAUGUCACCGUCCUUUGUACGGUCCUUCGUACCUACCCAAGAGGCGGGUCGAUGGGUUGGGGUCGUACUACGUUCGGAGUAGGAGGCCUGUCUUCCAUCUUUCGUACUGUUGUCGUCCGCGCUAGGCCUCUCUGGUCCCUUUGUUGGUGCGCGUUUCCCAGAGGUGUCACGACUCCGUCCGGACCUUCCUCCUGGUUCUGCGGCCCGUAGAGGACCCCAGCGACGUGCUCCACAAGCCACUUCGGUAGAAGAGCAAGUAGGUCGGUGGCCUCGAUAGGUAGAAGGACAUCUUUCGCAGUCAGCUGCUAACUUCUUUAGAGCCCUACAUUACGAUCCACUGAGGGUAAUUUUUUUUUUUCCCGUCGGGGUCACGUACGUCGAGGGCGAACGCGUCCCAGACCCCUUCCCAGGCUGGUGAAACCCAGAUAACAUGCGUCGGAAAGGGAUGUAAAGACAUUCUCCGACAAAGGUCCUGAACUUGGGCACUGGAGUACCAGUGUUCCGUCGUCGAAAUGGUGACGCUUCAUAUUAAAUGAUCACCGAGUCACAGAUUAACGUUCACAUUAUAAAAAAAGAAAACAUUGACGACUAGAGAACUCAGUAAAAUGAUAAAGGAGGUCAUCAAGUAAAAAAAAGGACAA
rnacentral:rRNA from 1 species